rnacentral:rRNA from 1 species
UGCAGUCGAGCGGCAGCGGAGGUACUUUGCUACUUUGCCGGAGAGCGGCGGACGGGAGAAUAGUGUCUGGGAAUGUGCCUGAUGGAGGGGGAUAUCUACUGGAAACGGUAUCUAAUACCGUAUAGCGUCGCGAGACCAAAGAGGGGGACCUUCGGCCCUCUUGCCCUCAUAUGUGCCCAUAUGGUAUUAUCUAAUAGGUGGGGUAGCGGCUCCCCUAGGCCACUAUCCCUAUGUGGUCUGAGAGGAUGACCACCCACUCUGGAUCUGACACGCGGCCCACACUCCUACGGGAGGCAACAGUGGAGAAUAUUGCACAGUGGGCGCAACCCUGAUGCACCCGUGCCGCGUGUAUGAAAAAGGUCUUCGGUUUGUAAAGUACUUUCAGCGGAGAAGAGGGUGUUGAUGUUAAUACCCUCAGCUAUUGACUUUACCCGCAAAAAAAGCCCCGUAUAUCUCCGUGCCAGCACCCGCGAUAAUACGGAGGGUGCAAGCGUUACUCAAAAUUAGUGGGCGUAAAGCGCACGCACGCGCUCUGUCGAGUCAUAUGUGAUCUCCCCGGUCUCACCCUGAGAUCUGUUUUCGAAUGUGGCAGGAUAGAGUCGUGUAGAGGGGGAUAGAAUUCCGUGUGUAGCGGAGAUGUGCAUAGAUAUCUGGAGGAAUACCGGUGGCGAACGCGCCCCCCUGCACAGACACUGACGCUCAUGUG